rnacentral:rRNA from 1 species
CAAAUUCAAAAUGGGAUAGGGGGUUCCCUCAAGGGCCCCCGGAAAAAGGGGGUUUUUCCUUUGUGUAAUAAUCCGGGGGAAUAAGGGGGGGGCAAGAUGGGUGUCGCCCGCCGCGGUAACCCCAGCCCCCCGAGUGGUGGGGAUGCUUAUUUGGCCUAAAGCGUCCGUAGCCUGCUCGGUAAAUCUCUCGUUAAAUCCAACGUCCUAAGCGUUGGGCUGCGAGGGAGACUGCUGAGCUAGAGGGUGGGAGAGGUCAGCGGUAUUUCUGGGGUAGGGGCGAAAUCCAUUGAUCCCAGGAGGACCACCAGUGGCGAAGGCUGCUGACUAGAACACGCCUGACGGUGAGGGACGAAAGCUGGGGUAGCGAAUCGGAUUAGAUACCCGAGUAGUCCCAGCCGUAAACGAUGCAGGUUAGGUGUUGGGUUGGCCACGUGCCGACUCAGUGCCACAGGGAAGCCAUUAAACCUGCCGCCUGGGGAGUACGGCCGCAAGGCUGAAACUUAAAGGAAUUGGCGGGAGA